rnacentral:lncRNA from 1 species
UUGUUGUUGUGAGGAAAUAUGAAACAUUCGAAGGUCAAAAUAGACAUGAUUUUGACUUUCUGAAGUCAAAAUUGAAGUUUGUCAAAAGCAAAAGAAUCAACAAAGAAGAAGAUAGUCAAAGCUCACCGUCUAAGUGAAAGAAAGCAAUAGCUACAGAGAAAGCUAAAGGUAAACAUAAAGCAGUUGAAGUUGAAGAAAUUAUAUCUGCAACAUCUGAGAGGGAGAAAUCAGAAGAUGAUGAAAUAGAGAGUGAUGAAGAAAUUCCAAAGUACACUAGAACUUACGGCAGAACUCAAGAUGGAAAGGUAACUGUUGAAAGUGAAAAAUCAAAGCCAACGCUAGAGACAUAUCUCUAAGAGAUAUAU